rnacentral:rRNA from 1 species
GACGAACCGUGCAAACGUUGUUCGGAAUCACUGGGCUUAAAGGGCGCGUAGGCGGUCCUGAUCGUCGGAUGUGAAAGGCCUGGGCUCAACCUGGGAACUGCAUCCGAUACGGCGGGACUGGAGUGUGGGAGAGGUUGGUGGAAUUCCCAGUGUAGAGGUGAAAUUCGUAGAUAUUGGGAAGAACACCGGUGGCGAAGGCGGCCAACUGGACCACAACUGACGCUGAGGCGCGAAAGCGUGGGGAGCAAACAGG